ACGAGAAUCUGUGGAAAGAGGAUUCGUCCAAUUGAAGCAGAGGACAGUGGCGGACGGGUGAGUAACGCGUGAGGAACCUGCCUUUCAGAGGGGGACAACAGUUGGAAACGACUGCUAAUACCGCAUAACAUAUAGAUGUCGCAUGGCAUUUAUAUCAAAGAUUUAUCGCUGAAAGAUGGCCUCGCGUCUGAUUAGCUAGUUGGUGAGGUAACGGCCCACCAAGGCGACGAUCAGUAGCCGGACUGAGAGGUUGAACGGCCACAUUGGGACUGAGAUACGGCCCAGACUCCUACGGGAGGCAGCAGUGGGGAAUAUUGGGCAAUGGGCGCAAGCCUGACCCAGCAACGCCGCGUGAAGGAAGAAGGCUUUCGGGUUGUAAACUUCUUUUGUCAGGGACGAGUAGAAGACGGUACCUGACGAAUAAGCCACGGCUAACUACGUGCCAGCAGCCGCGGUAAUACGUAGGUGGCAAGCGUUGUCCGGAUUUACUGGGUGUAAAGGGCGUGUAGCCGGGAGGGCAAGUCAGAUGUGAAAUCCACGGGCU
rnacentral:rRNA from 1 species